rnacentral:rRNA from 1 species
CCUACGGGGGGCUGCAGUCGAGAAUCUUCCUCAAUGGCCGAAAGGCUGAAGGAGCGACAUCGCGUGCAGGAGGAAGCCCUUCGGGGUGUAAACUGCUUUUCUCUGGGAAGAAACAAUGACGGUACCAGAGGAAUAAGGGGUUGCUAAACUCGUGCCAGCAGCAGCGGUAAUACGAGUACCCCGAGCGUUAUCCGGAUUUAUUGGGCGUAAAGCGUGCGUAGACGGUUUAUAACAUCUCCUGUUAAAUCCCAAGGCUCAACCUUGGGGCUGCGGGAGAUAUGGAUAAACUAGAGGCUGGAAGAGGUAAGCGGAAUUGCUGGUGUAGGGGUUAAAUCCGUUAAUAUCAGCAGGAACACCAAAUGCGAAGGCAGCUUACUGGAACAGUUCUGACGUUCAGGCACGAAAGCGUGGGGAGCGAAUGGGAUUAGAUACCCCGGUAGUC